GGAGUCACCUGCUGCACCUGCCUCAUCUCCUGUCCUUGGUCCUCACGUGAGACUUGGGAGGGUUGAAGAGCUCUCAGCAGGUCCUCUGCACACUGCACGGCAAGGAGCAGCACCACCACGAUUGUCAGGACCUGUUUACAUCACACAAGCGGCUGCAGCGGUGGAAGGGCUGGGAGCUGGCAGCAGCAGGAGCAGGAUGGCAGCAGGCAGCAGCACCAAACUUGACACUCCAUCAUGCACAGUUUCCUGAAAGAAAAUGUCUUAUGAGGCAUUCAUUUGGGCAUUUUCAUCUGUCUACUCUUUGCUGUGACAGUUUAUUGCACUUUUUUUUCCUUGACCUGUCUCCUAUGCUGCCACCACCACCACCACCACCACCAUUCUUCCUUCUUACUGUGGGAAUACUUAUUUACUCUUACUGUAAUUAAGAAAAAUAUAUAUGUGAUUUUCCUCUUACUGUAAAAUUUUUAAAUAUAUAGUGUGUGUGAUUUAUCCUUGUGAUGUCUAUGAUAAAAAAACAUAUCCCCACAAGAGGCAACAAGGCUUCUGUUUCUGUGAAUAGAUUAAGAUUGCAUAAAAUAGAUAUUGGAUUUUAACAUUUA